GAUCAUGGCUCAGGAUGAACGCUAGCUACAGGCUUAACACAUGCAAGUCGAGGGGCAGCAUGAACUUAGCUUGCUAAGUUUGAUGGCGACCGGCGCACGGGUGAGUAACACGUAUCCAACCUGCCGAUGACUCGGGGAUAGCCUUUCGAAAGAAAGAUUAAUACCCGAUGGCAUAGUUCUUCCGCAUGGUGGAACUAUUAAAGAAUUUCGGUCAUCGAUGGGAUGCGUUCCUACUUAGG
rnacentral:rRNA from 1 species